rnacentral:rRNA from 1 species
GACGAACGCUGGCGGCGUGCUUAAUACAUGCAAGUCGAGCGAAGAUUUUCUGGUGCUUGCACUAGCAAAACUUACCGGCGAACGGGUGAGUAACACGUAACGAACCCGCCUCAUUGACAGGGCCAAAUAUUGGAAACGAUAGUUAAUACCAGAUAAUCGUACUUCUUGCAUGGGAGUUGUUUAAAAGUUGGUUAUGCUAACAACAUGAGAUGGCUUUGCGUUGCAUUAGCUGGUUGGUGGGGUAAAGCCCCACCAAGGCGGCGAUGCGUAGCCGACGUGAGAGAGUGAUAGGCCACACUGGGAGUGAGACACGGCCCAGACUACUGCGGGAGGCAGCAGAAGGGAAUGGGCCGCAAUGGGCGAAAGCCUGACGGAACGGCGCCGAGUCUGUGAAGGAGGAGUUCGGUGCGUGAAGCUCUGUUGUUAGUGAUAAAUGGAUUUGUAGUAACUCUACGUGUAAGUGACGGUACCGAGUCAAGAAGCAACGGCUAACUACGUG